rnacentral:lncRNA from 1 species
GGGGGGUUUGUGAAAGGUUUGUGAAUGCGGAUAACUAAAUCAAAAGACGGAUGCAAACACAAAUGUAAAACUGAAAUGUAGACAGAAACAUAAAAAUGUAAUCAAAUACAAAAUAAAAACGGUCGGUCAUUAACUCAAUUACUAUGCUUCCAAUCCCAGAUUAAAGACAAGUACGCACUACUCUAAUCCAAAUCCAACACGAAUCACCCAACUAAGCGAAGGGUAAUUCGGUUUUCAGAAUUGUAGACAAAGCGAAUGCAAUGCACAAAUCUAAUCAGUCAUGCACCAUAUAGUCUAAUCAACUAAGCGAAGAUCAAACACCGGUUAAGCAACUAAGCUUAUACCUAAUCGCAAAGAAAAUUCUGAAGAAGAGUAUACCUAAUGCAUAAAUCUAAUCAGUCAUGCACCAUACAAUCUUAGACUCAAGAUAGAGGAAGAAAAUUGAAGAAAAGAAGAGUCAAGAUAGCGCCCGGCGGCAAAAUUCACCGCUGGGCGGUCCAAGGCGAGGAGAAGGCACCUGGCGUGGGCUCUGGGAGGAUUUGCGAUUAGAGGCAAACCGCCGGGCAGUGGCCCCCUGCCGCCGGG